AUUGAACGCUGGCGGCAGGCCUAACACAUGCAAGUCGAACGAGUGGCGGACGGGUGAGUAAUGUCUGGGAAUCUGCCCGAUGGAGGGGGAUAACUACUGGAAACGGUGGCUAAUACCGCAUACCAUCGGAUGUGCCCAUAUGGGAUUAGCUAGUAGGUGGGGUAACGGCUCACCUAGGCGACGAUCCCUAGCUGGUCUGAGAGGAUGCCCAGCCACACUGGGACUGAGACACGGUCCAGACGCCUACGGGAGGCAGCAGUGGGGAAUAUUGCACAAUGGGCGCAAGCCUGAUGCAGCCAUGCCGCGUGUAUGAAGAAGGCCUUCGGGUUGUAAAGUACUUUCAGCGGGGAGGCGUUACCCGCAGAAGAAGCACCGGCUAACUCCGUGCCAGCAGCCGCGGUAAUAC
rnacentral:rRNA from 1 species